rnacentral:misc_RNA from 1 species
AACGCACAUUGCGCCCCAUGGUAUUCCAUGGGGCAUGCCUGUUCGAGCGUCAUUUGUACCCUCAAGCUCUGCUUGGUGUUGGGUGUUUGUCCUAUCCUUGCGAUUGGACUCGCCUUAAAGUUAUUGGCAGCCGGCAUAUUGGCCUUGGAGCGCAGCACAUUUUGCGAUUCAAGCCUGUAGACUGGCGUCCAUCAAGCCUUUUUAUCACUUUUGACCUCGGAUCAGGUAGGGAUACCCGCUGAACUUAA